rnacentral:rRNA from 1 species
CGCGUAGGCGGCCACCGCAAGUCAGUUGUGAAAGCUCUGGGCUUAACCCAGAAAGGUCAACUGAUACUGCGGGGCUAGAGUGCGGAAGGGGCAACUGGAAUUCUCGGUGUAGCGGUGAAAUGCGUAGAUAUCGAGAGGAACACCUGCGGCGAAGGCGGGUUGCUGGGCCGACACUGACGCUGAAGCGCGAAAGCUAGGGGAGCGAACG